rnacentral:rRNA from 1 species
AUGGCGACCGGCGCACGGGUGAGUAACACGUAUUCAACCUGCCGAUGACUCGGGGAUAGCCUUUCGAAAGAAAGAUUAAUACCCGAUGGCAUAGUUCUUCCGCAUGGUAGAACUAUUAAAGAAUUUCGGUCAUCGAUGGGGAUGCGUUCCAUUAGGUUGUUGGCGGGGUAACGGCCCACCAAGCCUUCGAUGGAUAGGGGUUCUGAGAGGAAGGUCCCCCACAUUGGAACUGAGACACGGUCCAA